GAUGAACGCUAGCGGCAGGCUUAACACAUGCAAGUCGAGGGGCAGCAUAAAUAGUAGCAAUACUAUUGGUGGCGACCGGCGGACGGGUGCGUAACGCGUAUACAACCUUCCCUAAACAGGGGGAUAAUCUGGAGAAAUUCGGUCUAAUACCCCAUAACAUCAGAGCAGGCAUCUGUUUUGGUUAAAAUUUCCGGAGGUUUAGGAUGGGUAUGCGUAGCAUUAGCUAGUUGGUGAGGUAACGGCUCACCAAGGCGACGAUGCUUAGGGGGACUGAGAGGUUAACCCCCCCCACUGGUACUCAGACACGGACCAGACUCCUACGCGAGGCAGCAGUGAGGAAUAUUGGUCAAUGGGCGGAAGCUUGAACCAGCCAUGCCGCGUGCAGGAUGACGGCUCUAUGAGUUGUAAACUGCUUUUGUACGAGGGUAAAGUGGGCUACGUGUAGCCUUUUGAAAGUAUCGUACGAAUAAGGAUCGGCUAACUCCGUGCCAGCCGCCGCCGUAA
rnacentral:rRNA from 1 species